AUGGCCCAAUUUAUCCCUCAACGCAAGCAUCUCACCCUCAAAAUGUUUGUAUGGGACCCAACCGGCAAACCUGGAGAUGGAUUAUUUCUUUCACCUUGGAUUGGCUCAUCUGCUCAACUUUUAAAAGCAUUUCCACUGCACAGUGAAAGAAAACCACAAAUUCCUUGUUUAAUAUCUGGAAUCAUGUGCUUUUAACAAGAGGAAAAGGUCAAGUCUGAAGCAACUGAUACAGAACUGCCAGAUUAGGUACGUAAAUGGAGGAGUUACAUCCAUUUGGGAGGGCUGCAGAAACGUGGAUUGGAUUUUAAUCACACUGAGAAAGUUUCUCUUGAGCAAAAGACAUGAUGGUUGUUCCCCAGAACCUUUCUGUCCUGUCCCUUGCUCUGCCAAGGGAAAUAGAAAAGACAUAAACAUUUAAGAACUUAAAAGGCUUCUGGAUAAAACUCAGCUUGGUGCAGCACAUUUUAGCUACCAUAGCUUUACUCCCAAGCUUCCACCUUUCCUAGGAACGUAGUAAAAACCUGAGCUAAAGAAACCGAACAAUAGAAGAACUGAAAUUCUUUAAACCUGAGUUCUUGAGGUUGUAGUUUUGGUACACUCCAUAAAGUCAAAGCCCUAAAAAGAUUUUUAAAAAACAAAACCCUUAUACCUGUGUCUCUUUCCCCAAACCUCUCUACAUUUACUUACCUUUGCAGACUUACACAUUCUCGUUUUCUUGUGAUUGCGUUUGGAUAGAAUGAAGACCUCGUCCACAGUUCUCAACUUAAAUUCUUUCUUCUACUUCUUAGCUAUGAAAGAAAAUUCAAAAAAUUCAAUGCUCUACUUUGUAACUCCCUGGACAUAGUGAGUCCAUUAUGUACAUCAUGAGGAGGGAGUGGAGAAAGUGGAAUUCUUAUGUAAAUUCGUACAACUUUGGAAAACGGCUUACCAGUACCUACUAAAGCUGAGCAUAUGCAAAACCAGUGACCCAGGCAUGUCAUGGGUACAUAACCUACAAAAAUGUAGACAUAGGCACUAAAAGACAUCUACAACAUGUUCACUGCAGCCCAGUUCAUAAUCAACCCAGAGUGGAAAAACCCAAGCAUCCACCAACUGGAGACUGCACAAUAAAACUGUAGUAUUUUCAUCA
rnacentral:lncRNA from 1 species